GGUAAGGACUGGCCAUGAGGACGCGGAAGAAGUAAGUGGGAAGAGUUAAUCGGAAUGAAUGGGAGGAAAGGUGGGGGAGGCGGGUUUUGAAGGCGUAUGUGAAAGCCCACGGCUCAACCGUGGAGGGGCAUUGGAAACUGGAAAACUUGAGUGCAGAAGAGGAAAGUGGAAUUCCAGGUGUAGCGGUGAAAUGCGCAGAGAUAUGGAGGAACACCAGUGGCGAAGGCGACUUUCUGGUCUGCAACUGACGCUGAUGUGCGAAAGCGUGGGGAUCAAACAGGAUUAGAUACCCUAGUAGUC
rnacentral:rRNA from 1 species